ACACUCCUGCGGGAGGCAGCAGUGGGGAAUUUUGGACAAUGGGCGAAAGCCUGAUCCAGCAAUGCCGCGUGAGUGAAGAAGGCCUUCGGGUUGUAAAGCUCUUUUGUCAGGGAAGAAACGGUGAGAGCUAAUAUCUUUUGCUAAUGACGGUACCUGAAGAGUAAGCACCGGCUAACUACGUGCCAGCAGCCGCGGUAAUACGUAGGGUGCAAGCGUUAAUCGGAAUUACUGGGCGUAAAGCGUGCGCAGGCGGUUUUGUAAGUCUGAUGUGAAAUCCCCGGGCUCAACCUGGGAAUUGCAUUGGAGACUGCAAGGCUAGAAUCUGGCAGAGGGGGGUAGAAUUCCACGUGUAGCAGUGAAAUGCGUAGAUAUGUGGAGGAACACCGAUGGCGAAGGCAGCCCCCUGGGUCAAGAUUGACGCUCAUGCACGAAAGCGUGGGGAGCAAACAGGAUUAGAUACCCGAGUAGUCCC
rnacentral:rRNA from 1 species